rnacentral:rRNA from 1 species
UACAGAGGUCUCAAGCGUUGUUCGGAUUCAUUGGGGCGUAAAGGGUGCGUAGGCGGCGCGGUAAGUCGGGUGUGAAAAUCUCGGGGCUUAACUCCGAAACUGCAUUCGAUACUGCCGUGCUUGAGGACUGGAGAGGAGACUGGAAUUUACGGUGUAGCGGUGAAAUGCGUAGAUAUCGUAAGGAAGACCAGUGGCGAAGGCGGGUCUCGUGGACAGUUCCUGACGGCU